AGCAGCCGCCACGGUAAUACGUAGGGUGCAAGCGUUAAUCGGAAUUACUGGGCGUAAAGCGUGCGCAGGCGGUUUGUUAAGACAGAUGUGAAAUCCCCGGGCUCAACCUGGGAACUGCAUUUGUGACUGGCAAGCUAGAGUAUGGCAGAGGGGGGUGGAAUUCCGCGUGUAGCAGUGAAAUGCGUAGAUAUGCGGAGGAACACCGAUGGCGAAGGCAGCCCCCUGGGCCAAUACUGACGCUCAUGCACGAAAGCGUGGGGAGCAAACAGGAUUAGAUACCCCUGUAGUCCCUGUCUCUUAUAU
rnacentral:rRNA from 1 species